AUUGAACGCUGGCGGCAGGCUUAACACAUGCAAGUCGAGCGGAGCGAGGGUGCUUGCACCUUAGCUUAGCGGCGGACGGGUGAGUAAUGCUUAGGAAUCUGCCUAUUAGUGGGGGACAACAUUCCGAAAGGGAUGCUAAUACCGCAUACGCCCUACGGGGGAAAGCAGGGGAUCUUCGGACCUUGCGCUAAUAGAUGAGCCUAAGUCGGAUUAGCUAGUUGGUGGGGUAAAGGCCUACCAAGGCGACGAUCUGUAGCGGGUCUGAGAGGAUGAUCCGCCACACUGGGACUGAGACACGGCCCAGACUCCUACGGGAGGCAGCAGUGGGGAAUAUUGGACAAUGGGCGGAAGCCUGAUCCAGCCAUGCCGCGUGUGUGAAGAAGGCCUUUUGGUUGUAAAGCACUUUAAGCGAGGAGGAGGCUACCUGGAUUAAUACUCUAGGAUAGUGGACGUUACUCGCAGAAUAAGCACCGGCUAACUCUGUGCCAGCAGCCGCGGUAAAAC
rnacentral:rRNA from 1 species